UCCGUAGGUGAACCUGCGGAAGGAUCAUUAAAUAAUUUGAGUAUGCUUAUGCAUAUUUCUAAUUUACUGUGAACUGUUUUACUGUUUAGCGUUUUGAGGGAUUGCCUAAAGAUUAUAGGGAUAGGUCUUUAGGAUGUUAACCUAGCUAAAGUCAGGCUUAGGCCUGGUAUCCUAAUUCAUUAUUUACCAAAAGAAUUCAGAAUUAAUAUUGUAACAUAAGCGUAAAAAACUUAUAAAACAACUUUUAACAACGGAUCUCUUGGUUCUCGCAUCGAUGAAGAACGUAGCAAAGUGCGAUAACUAGUGUGAAUUGCAUAUUCAGUGAAUCAUCGAGUCUUUGAACGCAUCUUGCGCUCAAUGGUAUUCCAUUGAGCACGCCUGUUUCAGUAUCAACAACAACCCACAUCCACAAUUUUGUUGUGAAUGGAAGUGAGAGUAUCGAUGUAAAAAUUGAACUCUUUAAAACUAUUAGGCCUGAACUAUUGUUCUAUUAGCCUGAACAUUUUUUUAAUAUAAAGGAAUGCUCUAGUUAAAAGACUAUCUUGGGGGCCUCCCAAAUAAAUCAUUUUUUUAAACUUGAUCUGAAAUCAGGUGGGAUUACCCGCUGAACUUAAGCAUAUCAUAAGCGGAGGA
rnacentral:rRNA from 1 species